UAAUACAGAGGGCGCGAGCGUUGUCCGGAAUCACUGGGCGUAAAGGGCGCGUAGGUGGCCUGGUAAGUAGGGGGUGAAAUCUCGUGGCUCAACUGCGAGGCUGCCUCCUAAACUGUCAGGCUCGAGCAGAGUAGAGGCAGGUGGAAUUCCCGGUGUAGCGGUGGAAUGCGUAGAGAUCGGGAAGAACAUCGGUGGCGAAGGCGGCCUGCUGGGCUCUUGCUGACACUGAGGCGCGACAGCGUGGGGAGCAAAUCAGGAUUAGAUA
rnacentral:rRNA from 1 species